AUUGAACGCUGGCGGCAGGCUUAACACAUGCAAGUCGAGCGGGGGAAGGUAGCUUGCUACCGGACCUAGCGGCGGACGGGUGAGUAAUGCUUAGGAAUCGGCCUAUUAGUGGGGGACAACACCCCGAAAGGGAUGCUAAUACCGCAUACGUCCUACGGGGGAAGGAAGGGGAUCUUCGGCCUUUGGGCUAAUAGAUGAGCCUAAGUGGGAUUAGCUAGUUGGUGGGGUAAAGGCCUACCAAGGCGACGAUCUGUAGCGGGUCUGAGAGGAUGAUCCGCCACACUGGGACUGGGACACGGCCCAGACUCCUACGGGAGGCAGCAGUGGGGAAUAUUGGACAAUGGGGGGAACCCUGAUCCAGCCAUGCCGCGUGUGUGAAGAAGGCCUUAUGGUUGUAAAGCACUUUAAGCGAGGAGGAGGCUACUCUAGUUAAUACCUAGGGAUAGUGGAUGUUACUCGCAGAAUAAGCACCGGCUAACUCUGUGCCAGCCGCCGCAGUAA
rnacentral:rRNA from 1 species